rnacentral:rRNA from 1 species
AGAUUGAACGCUGGCGGCAUGCCUAACACAUGCAAGUCGAACGGGAGUAGCAAUACUCUAGUGGCGGACGGGUGAGGAAUACGUAGGAAUUUGCCCUUAAGUGGGGGAUAACCCGGGGAAACCCGGAUUAAUACCGCAUGACCUCGAAAGAGCAAAGUGGGGGAUCGCAAGACCUCACGCUUUUGGAGAAGCCUACGUCGGAUUAGCUAGUUGGUGAGGUAAUGGCUCACCAAAGCGACGAUCCGUAACUGGUCUGAGAGGAUGAUCGAGUCACACCGGAACUGAGACACGGUCCGGACUCCUACGGGAGGCAGCAGUGGGGAAUAUUGGACAAUGGGCGCAAGCCUGAUCCAGCAAUGCCGCGUGUGUGAAGAAGGCCUUC